CAAGCCAGGAGACAAGACUGCCUCUUUCUGUGAUGUAUGUAUGCUGCUUGUUGGGUGGGCAGUGGUUUGUGGGAUGUUUUCAACAUAUAUAGAAACAUAAUAAAAGAUUAACCAACUGCCUUCAGACAUCCUGUAAAGGCUGUAUAUUUACCUGUACUUCGCUCCGUGGUUCAGGGGUCACAUAACUCCAUACCCUCCAACAUUUUUCUGAUGAAAAUAGGGACAUCCUAAGGAAAAGUGAAGGGACACGGGUGGUGCUGUGGGUUAAACCACAGAGCCUAGGACUUGCUGAUCAGAAGGUCGGUGGUUCGAAUCCCCGCGACGGAGUGAGCUCCCAUUGCUCAGUCCCUGCUCCUGCCAACCUAGCAGUUCAAAAGCACACCAAAAAGUGCAAGUAGAUAAAUAGGCGGGAAGGUAAACGGCGGGAAGGUAAACGGCGUUUCCGUGCGCUGCUCUGCUUCGCCAGCAGCAGCUUAGUCAUGCUGGCCACAUGACCCGGAAGCUGUACGCCGGCUCCCUCGGCCAAUAAAGCGAGAUGAGCGCCGCAACCCCAAAUUUGUCUGUGACUAGACCUAAUGGUCAGGGGUCCCUAUACCUUUACGGAAAAGUGGGGUGUUCUGGGGUCAAACCAGGAACCGAGACGGUUUCUGUAAAUCCAGGACAGUCCCUGGAAAAGAGGGGCACUUGGUGAGUCUAUGCCCCAGGAAGAAGCUGUGCAGAGACGGAAGGAGGCUCUGCCACUUCCUGGGGGACUCCAGCUGAGGUCCCAAGGCCCAGGCGGCCGAGGAUGGAGAACCAGCCUCUCCUGGAAGAAGGCUAGAAGGGCCAGGGAGCCCAGAGGUCCUCCUGGAAAAUCGGGGGCUGCUAAGGUGUGCCCCUUCAGCCGUUCCAUUAUUGUAUUGUAAGGAACAGUAGCGACGUCUUCAGGCGCAAGGAGAGCCCGGGCGAUUUCAAACGUCUUCUCUCCGCAGACGCUGAAGAAUAUCGCCCUCUUCUUGGCGUCUUCGUUGGUGACCCCUUUGGCUUCUAGGAGGAAGGUGAAACGGGAGGCAUACGCUUCCCAGUCUCCGGAUGCUGGGUUGAACGGCGAGAAGCUGCUGUCGGUUGCCAUUCUGAGUUCCUUGGGUCCCAAAGCUGAAGCCUGGAUACACGGUGCAAGGCAGCAGUGCGGCAGGUGGCGGUGUUGCGGUGCUGUGUGUGGCGGUCAGCUCAGCGUUAUCCCACCUUCGUCGCCUAUGAAAUAUACUCGGAGUCGAGAGUGGAUUUCAUGCUCUUUAUUCAGCUCAUAGUGGUGAGGAGGAAUGGAAGUUCCCCCAGAAUGUCUGCUUUAUAUACAUAAUUUACACAAUGGGCCCCACGUGAUUGGCUAAUUCCGGAAUUCUCCUGUAGGCCAAUCAGGUUGCAGAUUCCCUUCCACCUGGAGCUGGAUUGGGUGACUCUCGUGGACCAAUCAGACUGCUGCAUUCUGGAUCCUAUUGUUCUAGGACCAAUCAGACUGCUGCAUUUUGGAUCCUAUUCAACUCAGUACAGUGGUACCUUGGGUUACAUACGCUUCAGGUUACAGACUCCUCUAACCCAGAAAUAGUACCUCGGGUUAAGAACUUUGUUUCAGGAUGAGAACGGAAACGUGCUCCAGCGGCGCAGCGGCAGCGGGUGGCCCCCGUUAGAUAAAGUGGUGCUUCAGGUUAAGAACAGUUUCAGGUUAAGAACGGACCUCCGGAACGAAUUAAGUACUGAACCCGAGGUACCACUGUACAUAGCACCUUCCAAAGAUGGAUUGGUUCCCUUUCGGGGGCACAGAGUCCCCUGCUCCCUUUGGGGUGCCUUUGGUCACAUUCUUGAAGGCAAAAAAAAUAAAAUGUAAAAGCUUUUCCCCCUCACCCUCACCUACUUGUCUUGAGCAGCCUACCUGGCUAGGCACCUUGCAAGUUGAGCCCUCCCUCCCUAGCUGGCUGAUUGACACUCCAGGCUAGCCAAUAGAGCUCAUCAUCUUCUGGGGUGGGCGGAGCUGCUGCCAAUGGCUCCCACAGAAGCAGCCAGACCUUUACUGGAGCAGCAGCCUCCGCUUGCAAAGCUCUGUCUCCCUCGGCCUCUUGCUGGGGGUCUAAGGGGUCUCUGGGCUCCUUUCCACCUCUAGAAUGGAGGGUGCAAAGGAGGCCUUCGGACCUGGAGGGUUCUGUUGCUGAAAUGGCCGGCAUGAAGGGUGGCAUACAAAUUUAAUCAAUCAUCACCUCCACCUGCCAUUCCCUGGGCAUUAAAGCACCAUAAACAUCCCAUAUUGGAACUCUCAGGGGGAUGAGGGGUUAUGCAAACCCCGUUAGGAUGUUGGAGGCAAAGCUCCAUGAGGAAGCAGAAUUUCUUCUUAUCUCUUCUUCCUUCCUUCCUUCCUUCCUUCCUUCCUUCCUUCCUUCCUUCUAUUUUGGACUGGUUUCUAAAUUUACCAUCCUUCUGGCAGGC
rnacentral:lncRNA from 1 species